rnacentral:rRNA from 1 species
GUCCACGCCCUAAACGAUGAGUGCUAGAUAUCGGGGCUUAUGUCCUCGGUGUCGUAGUUAACGCGUUAAGCACUCCGCCUGGGAAGUACGAUCGCAAGAUUAAAACUCAAACGGAAUUGACGGGGACCCCGCACAAGCAGUGGAACAUGUGGUUUAAUUCGAUGCUACGCGAAAAACCUUACCAGGCCUUGACAUAAUGGUUAAUUUGUAGAGAGAUCUACGAGUCGGUUCGGCCGGACCAUUACAGGUGUUGCAUGGCUGUCGU